rnacentral:rRNA from 1 species
UACGAAGGGUGCAAACGUUGCUCGGAAUCAUUGGGCGUAAAGCGCACGUAGGCGGCUUGCCAAGUCGGACGUGAAAUCCCUCAGCUCAACUGAGGACGUGCAUCCGAAACUGGCGAGCUUGAGUACUGAAGAGGAUCGCGGAAUUCCCGGUGUAGAGGUGAAAUUCGUAGAUAUCGGGAGGAACACCAGUGGCGAAGGCGGCGAUCUGGGCAGAUACUGACGCUGAGGUGCGAAAGCGUGGGGAGCAAACAGGG